rnacentral:rRNA from 1 species
UACGUAGGGGGCUAGCGUUGUCCGGAUUUAUUGGGCGUAAAGAGCGUGUAGGCGGCCAGGUAGGUCUGCUGUGAAAACUCGAGGCUUAACCUCGAGAUGUCGGCGGAAACCAUCUGGCUAGAGUCCGGAAGAGGAGAGUGGAAUUCCAGGUGUAGCGGUGAAAUGACGUAGAUAUCUGGAGGAAUACCGGUGGCGAAGGCGGCAUCCUGGACCGACAUUGACGCUGAACGGCGAAAGCUAGGGGAGCAAACGGG